GUAGGUGGCAAGCGUUGUCCGGAAUUAUUGGGCGUAAAGCGCGCGCAGGUGGGUUCUUUAAAUCUGAUGUGAAAGCCCCCGGGCUCAACCGGGGAGGGUCAUUGGAAACUGGGGAACUUGAGUGCAGGAGAGGAAAGUGGAAUUCCACGUGUAGCGAUGAAAUGCGUAGAUAUGUGGAGGAACACCAGUGGCGAAGGCGACUUUCUGGCCUGUAACUGACACUGAGGCGCGAAAGCGUGGGGAGCAAACAGGAUUAGAUACCCUGGUAGUCCACGCCGUAAACGAUGAGUGCUAAGUGUUGGGGGGUUUCCGCCCCUCAGUGCUGCAGCUAACGCAUUAAGCACUCCGCCUGGGGAGUACGGUCGCAAAGACUG
rnacentral:rRNA from 1 species